ACGAACGCUGGCGGCAUGCCUAACACAUGCAAGUCGAACGAGACCUUCGGGUCUAGUGGCGCACGGGUGCGUAACGCGUGGGAACCUGCCCUUAGGUUCGGAAUAACUCCCCGAAAGGGGUGCUAAUACCGGAUAAUGUCUUCGGACCAAAGAUUUAUCGCCUUUGGAUGGGCCCGCGUUGGAUUAGCUUGUUGGUAGGGUAAAAGCCUACCAAGGCGACGAUCCAUAGCUGGUCUGAGAGGAUGAUCAGCCACACUGGGACUGAGACACGGCCCAGACUCCUACGGGAGGCAGCAGUGGGGAAUAUUGGACAAUGGGCGAAAGCCUGAUCCAGCAAUGCCGCGUGAGUGAUGAAGGCCUUAGGGUUGUAAAGCUCUUUUACCCGGGAUGAUAAUGACAGUACCGGGAGAAUAAGCUCCGGCUAACUCCGUG
rnacentral:rRNA from 1 species